rnacentral:rRNA from 1 species
CCAUAGGUGNACCUGCGGAAGGAUCAUUA